rnacentral:rRNA from 1 species
UACAGGGGGGGCAAGCGUUGUUCGGAAUUACUGGGCGUAAAGGGCUUGUAGGUGGCCGACUAAGUCCGACGUGAAAUCCCCAGGCUUAACCUGGGAACUGCGUCGGAUACUGGUUGGCUUGAAUCCGGGAGAGGGAUGCGGAAUUCCAGGUGUAGCGGUGAAAUGCGUAGAUAUCAGGAGGAACACCUGUGGCGAAAGCGGCUCACUGGACCACAACUGACGCUGAUGCACGAAAGCUAGGGGAGCAAACAGG